rnacentral:lncRNA from 1 species
AUAAGAACAUCUCGUAAAAAGGCAAAACAAACUCGAAGUGAUGCUCCGAUCGCCUGAACGGAGUUAAAAACCCUGUAUCAGAUAACCUACGUAUAUGACAACUACCCAAACCAAAGUACACCAACAGCACCCUAACAACGUAACCCGAUUAUCCCACGUUGCGAGACUCUAUGAUUAGGAAAAGCAGGAUGCCGAGUAGUCAUGACUUAUAGCAGCAGGUUGGCGGGCUCAGCGUAUCCAAAGGAAGGCCCCCAUGGCGAAGUCCCUCUUCUGAGCGAGGUCACCGAACACGGGCAGCCCGUAAUCCCUCAGGAGGCAGUCGACCUUCCACUCGGGCAUCGUCUGGUAGUCGGUCUUGGUGUACCUUGGGUAGUGGAGGGGCAUCCGGAAGUACCCCCCACAUCUCUCCUUCCCAUGACGGUUUACCCCGUUGGUCUCGGCCGGGUUCCUCUUCGUCAGCCACUCCAUGCUUCGCUUCUUCUCACCCUCUGUUUUCUCCUUCUCUUUCCCUCUCUGGCUCCAUCUGAUAUCUAAAUAUUGACGGGGAUGGGAUCCUUUAUAGGGAGAGAGUGGCUCAGGAGAGCACCGGAAGCCAAAAGGUAUCCGGGUCUGACAUUAACGGGCGGGAGAAAUAAAUUAAGGAUGGGUUCCAAGAGCACACGGAUUUAUAUAUUUCCCACAGUGCUCAACAGUUAAUCCUGGCUACCUUCGUUGUCGAAUCCGGUGCCCAGUUUAUCAGGGUGGCAUUUUGGGUGGUUCGAUGGCAAGCGUUGAUUGUUCGGUCGGGUGCCUCUUGUUUACUUGAGGUCAUAUAUUUCUGGGUGCCAUGGGAUGGACUUGGCGCUUGCCUUGUAGACCAAGACAAAGUAAAAAAAAAAAAAGCCGCUAACUAAGUUGCUUUGAGUAUAAUAAAAGCUUAAUUAUUUCAAAAUUUUUAGAUUUUUUUAAAAAAUUUUCUUUUAUCUUGAAUUUCGAUUUAUUACAAUUAGAUUCAUAAAUUUUUAUAAUAUCAUAAUUUUUCUUUGGAG